CCUACGGGCGGCAGCAGUGAGGAAUAUUGGUCAAUGGACGAGAGUCUGAACCAGCCAAGUAGCGUGAAGGAUGACUGCCCUAUGGGUUGUAAACUUCUUUUAUAUGGGAAUAAAACGUUCCACGUGUGGGAUUUUGUAUGUACCAUAUGAAUAAGGAUCGGCUAACUCCGUGCCAGCAGCCGCGGUAAUACGGAGGAUCCGAGCGUUAUCCGGAUUUAUUGGGUUUGAAGGGAGCGUAGGUGGAUUGUUAAGUCAGUUGUGAAAGUUUGCGGCUCAACCGUAAAAUUGCAGUUGAAACUGGCAGUCUUGAGUACAGUAGAGGUGGGCGGAAUUCGUGGUGUAGCGGUGAAAUGCUUAGAUAUCACGAAGAACUCCGAUUGCGAAGGCAGUUCACUGGACUGCAACUGACACUGAGGCUCGAAAGUGUGGGUAUCAAACAGGAUUAGAUACCCCUGUAGUC
rnacentral:rRNA from 1 species